UCCGAUUGUUCUAAGUCCGGCUCUUAGUUAAAAGCCGGACUUGAAAAAUCGGAG
rnacentral:pre_miRNA from 1 species